rnacentral:RNase_P_RNA from 2 species
GAAGCUGGCCAGACAGUCGCCGCCCGUGUUCAGCCCAUGAGCGCGGGGGGAGGAAAGUCCGGGCUCCGCAGAGCAGGAUGCCGGUUAAUGGCCGGCCACCGCGAGGUGAGGAACAGGGCCACAGAGACGAGCGUAUUGAGUUACGGUGAAACGCGGUAACCUCCAUCCGGAGCAAGACCAAAUAGGCAGGCUAUGACGCUGCUCGCCGAGCCUGCGGGUAGGUUGCUUGAGCGCAUGGGCAACGAUGCGCCUAGAGGAAUGAUUGUCCACGACAGAACCCGGCUUAUCGGCCAGCUUCAUUC